rnacentral:rRNA from 1 species
AUUGAACGCUGGCGGCAGGCCUAACACAUGCAAGUCGAGCGGAUGAGUGGAGCUUGCUCCAUGAUUCAGCGGCGGACGGGUGAGUAAUGCCUAGGAAUCUGCCUGGUAGUGGGGGACAACGUUUCGAAAGGAACGCUAAUACCGCAUACGUCCUACGGGAGAAAGUGGGGGAUCUUCGGACCUCACGCUAUCAGAUGAGCCUAGGUCGGAUUAGCUAGUUGGUGAGGUAAAGGCACACCAAGGCGACGAUCCGUAACUGGGCUGAGAGGAUGAUCAGUCACACUGGAACUGAGACACGGUCCAGACUCCUACGGGAGGCAGCAGUGGGGAAUAUUGGACAAUGGGCGAAAGCCUGAUCCAGCCAUGCCGGGUGUGUGAAGAAGGUCUUCGGAUUGUAAAGCACUUUAAGUUGGGAGGAAGGGCAGUAAGUUAAUACCUUGCUGUUUUGACGUUACCAACAGAAUAAGCACCGGCUAACUUCGUGCCAGCAGCCGCAGUAAGAC